rnacentral:rRNA from 1 species
GUGUCAGCAGCCGCGGUAAUACGAAGGGGGCUAGCGUUGCUCGGAAUUACUGGGCGUAAAGCGCACGUAGGCGGCUUUCUAAGUCGGGGGUGAAAUCCUGGAGCUCAACUCCAGAACUGCCUUCGAUACUGGAAAGCUCGAGUCCGGGAGAGGUGAGUGGAACUGCGAGUGUAGAGGUGAAAUUCGUAGAUAUUCGCAAGAACACCAGUGGCGAAGGCGGCUCACUGGCCCGGUACUGACGCUGAGGUGCGAAAGCGUGGGGAGCAAACAGGAUUAGAAACCCCCGUAGUCC